UGCCAAAUUUUGGAAGACACCAUAGCUAGGGUUUCUUUGCUUUCUCAAGCUCAUAAUCAAGAAAAAUGAGAAGACUACCUCAAACGGGGAAAAGAGAAGAUAGUAGAGUAAAUUGCAAAAUUUCGAUAUUUUGCACCGAGCCAGCUCGGAAUUUGGACGAAGUCAGGAAAUCAUCCACACUAUCAUCAACUUUUUGGACUUAAAGAUCAAGCUUCAAGCUCGGGGAUCGUCAGCAAGUUCAUCACCCUAUCUAUUGUCUCGGUAUUUAAAAUGUUUAAAUUUUAACUACGGCAUGUACAGACUAGAUAAAUGUUUUGAAGGUCGU